rnacentral:rRNA from 1 species
AACGAACGCUGGCGGCAGGCCUAACACAUGCAAGUCGAACGAGAUCUUCGGAUCUAGUGGCGGACGGUGAGUAACGCGUGGAACGUGCCCUUCUCUACGGAAUAGUCCUGGGAAACUGGGUUUAAUACCGUAUACGCCGUCGGGGAAAGAAUUUCGGGAAGGAUCGGCCGCGUUGGAUUAGGUAGUUGGUGGGUAAUGGCCUACCAAGCCGACGAUCCAUAGCUGGUUUGAGAGGAUGAUCCAGCCACACUGGGACUGAGACACGGCCCAGACUCCUACGGGAGGCAGCAGUGGGAAUCUUAGACAAUGGGGCAACCCUGAUCUAGCCAUGCCGCGUGAGUG